rnacentral:rRNA from 1 species
GAGUUUGAUCAUGGCUCAGAACGAACGCUGGCGGCAGGCUUAACACAUGCAAGUCGAACGGGCGUAGCAAUACGUCAGUGGCAGACGGGUGAGUAACACGUGGGAACCUUCCUCGUAGUACGGAACAACUCAGGGAAACUUGAGCUAAUACCGUAUACGUCCGAGAGGAGAAAGAUUUAUCGCUAUGAGACGGGCCCGCGUCCGAUUAGGUAGUUGGUGGGGUAACGGCCUACCAAGCCGACGAUCGGUAGCUGAUCUGAGAGGAUGAUCAGCCACACUGGGACUGAGACACGGCCCAGACUCCUACGGGAGGCAGCAGUGGGGAAUCUUGGACAACGGGCGCAAGCCUGAUCCAGCCAUGCCGCGUGAGUGAAGAAGGCCUUAGGGUUGUAAAGCUCUUUUGCCAGGGACGAUAAUGACGGUACCUGGAGAAUAAGCCCCGGCAAACUUCGUGCCAGCAGCCGCAGU